ensembl:lncRNA
GCCUGACCCGCGGGCCGGCCGAGAACAGAGGAGGUAUCGUCAGCGGGCGGGAACCCGGCCCUCGGGGCCCCACCGCGACUCUGCGCGUGGCUUUGAUGUGAGGCGCUGUGGUUCUUGUGGGCGGUUCUGCUCGCCGCUCUUUGGAGUGCAGCCUCACACAGAACACUGAGCCGUGGGCGUUGGGUGGCAUGGCAGCAAGUUCCGCGGCGAAUGAAAGGAGGCCAGGUUCUGACAGAGCGACAUCACAGCGCUGGAGAGCCGCAGCAUGAACCGGGAACCUCCGCAGACGCAGCGUUGAAGAAAAGGAGAAACAGCCCCGUAACACGAAUGACGGCAGACGGAUCGGGGGCGCGGCCCCCCGGAUCAGGCCGC